ensembl:lncRNA
AUCCAACCAGUCCAUUCUGAAGGAGAUCAACCCUGGGAUUUCUUUGGAAGGAAGGAUGCUAAAGCUGAAAUUCCAGUACUUUGGCCACCUCAUACGAAGAGUUGACUCACUGGAAAAGACUCUGAUGCUGGGAGGAAUUGAGGGCAGGAGGAGAAGGGGACAACAAAGGAUGAGAUGGCUGGAUGGCAUCACGGACUCGAUGGACGCGAGUUUGAGUGAACUCCGAAGAGAUUGGUGAUGGACAGGGAGGCCUGGCAUGCUGCGAUUCAUGGGGUCACAAAGAGUCGGACACGACUGAAUGACUGAACUGAACUGAACUGAACCGAACUGAACCUUAUAUAUUCUAAAUAACUCUGAAAGAGAUGUUUUAAGAGUCUUUGAAAGUGUUUUGGAAAUACACCUGAAGAUAUUGGAAGAGUCCAGGACCUAGAUCGGAAUCAUAUUUCCUCUGUGGGACAGGCACUGGAGCUCAGGGAAGGUAUCUUAUCCAUCUAUAGGCAAAGAGAAUGAGCCAGUCUUAUGCAGACACACGGGAAAUAAAAGGAGACAAAUAGCUGAGCUCCUGCCGACCCCUGGUAUUUAGGAUGGUAAAUGGAGUAAGAUGAAGGCGGAAUGACAGCAAGAGAAGAUCCAGGAUGUUGAACAGAUCAUCAGAAUACAGGGCUCAGCAGCAAUGGGAUACAUGGAGGCUUGAUCAGAGAAUUAGAUGGAGUGCAUUUCUUACCUUGAGGUCUCCGGAAUAUGGUAGAAGAGGUCCCUGAAGAAGCUCCAGGGAGUUUGUGAAUCCUAUGAAAUUGUAAACUUGCAUAAGUUUGUACUCUGGAAAGAGUCCAUGGUGUUCUUCAGAGUUUUACAAUAAUCUAUAUAUGAACAUGUUUCACGAUUUCCGGAUGGUCCCCAAGGGCAGAUUAGAUUAAGGUAAAGGUAGACUUGAUGAUGAGGUGUCUGAAUAACAGUCUGCUUAAGUCAGCCUACCAAAAAGGUUAGCUGGCCCCUGCUUUGAGAGAGAGAGAGGGAAUUAGGCGAAGUAUAACUGUCUUUCCUGAAGGUUCUCCCUCUAGCCAGAAUUCAGGAAAUUAACCGAGUGCCAUUCACAGCUCAUCAGGGGAGAUCUGAAUGGUUCCUCCUUUCCAGUAUGCAGCAUCUACAGAAACACAGGACUUAAGUUCUCUCCUGUGGUCAUCAAACGCUUAUUUAGUG